ACAAUCUAAUUGGAGAGAUCUAUGUGAUGUGAUGAAAAUAUAAUUAUUAUAAUCAAAUUUUUUUUUUUUUUUGCGGUACACGGGACUCUCACCGUUGUGACCUCUCCCAUUGCGGAGCACAGGCUCCGGACGCGCAGGCUCAGCGGCCAUGGCUCACGGGCCCAGCCGCUCCGCGGCAUGUGGGAUCCUCCCGGACCGGGGCACGAACCUGCGGUCCCCUGCAUCGGCAGGCGGACUCUCAACCACUGCACCACCAGGGAAGCCCCUAAAAUCAAAUAUUUUAAGCCAUAGUUGUCUAACUCCUGAACGCCACACCACCACACCUAUGAAGACGUUUAAAGUUAUAAAAGUUUCAGAGACAAAUGGGCAGUAUUGCCAGUUGGCUUUACAGGUGGUCUGAAGAAGAAAAGAUGAUUAGACAUGAGGAUGAUCUUGAAGAUAACACAGAGGAAAAGGACUUGAAGAAGAACAGGCUUAAACAUAUUAAGCACAGAAGACCCCAAAGCUGCUGGAAUUCCAAUUCAUUGCUUACGUUUACCCAUGGGAGUUGGAGGCCCAGUAGGGCACCAAAGUAUAAGAACAGCUCUGUGUCUCCAGACCAAGGCAGAUAUGGAGUUUAUAAAAGAAGGGAGUAAAGAAAGGUAUCUGCAUUAGUGGCAUUAACCAUGGCUGAAGAUUUCUAUUCAGGCCAAGAUGGAAUAACAGACGUGAUUUAACUUUCCCACCCAAAAUGACCAAAAAUAACAGACAAAAUACAUGAAAAAACAGUUUUUAAGAUAUUGGAAUAAGGCAACAAAGGACAAUGAUCUCUGAGAGAUGGGAAACAAACAAGGUGAGCUACCAUGUCUGAAAUGAAAAAUACGAUGGAUGAAACUACUGGCAGAUUAAACAUGACAGAAAAAAAGGCUAGUGACCUUGAAAUACAGCAGUAGAAAUUAUCCAAAAUGAAAUUGAGAAAAAAAGAAUAAAAAAAUUUAAAGAGCAUCAACUGUGGGAUAAUUUAAAGUGGUUUAAUAUAUGUAUAAUUGGAGUGUCUGAAAUUGGAAUGCAAACAGAGGGAGAAAAAAAUAUUUGAAGAAAUAAUGGCUGAAAAUGUUCCAAAUUUUAUUAAACCCUUGGAUUCAACAACCUCAAGCACAAGAAAUAUGAAGAAAAUUACAUCAAGACAGAUCACAAUCAAAUUGCUCAAAACCAGUGAUAAAGUAUUAAAAGAAACCAGAGGAAAAAGACAGCUUACACACAGAGGAACAAAGAUAAAGAUGACCGAUUUCUUAUUAGAAAUAAUGCAGGCAAGAAGACAGAGGAGCAACAUCUUUAAAGUACUGAAAGAAAAAACUGUCAACCUACAAUUCUAUAUCUAGCAAAAAUAUUUUUCAAAAAUGCAGGUGAAAUAAAGAUGUUUUCAGACACAAAAGCAAAAGAAUUCAUCACCAGCAGACCAGCACUACAAACAGUGAUAAAGGAAGUCCUUUAGUGGAAGGAAAAUGAUACCAGCUGGAACUAUGGAUCCACAUAAUAGAAUGAAGGGCACCAAAAAUGGUUCAUGGAUAAGCAAAUUAUGAUAUAUGCAUACUGUGGAAUACUACCCAGCAAGAAAAAGGAAUGAACUAUUGACACACACACCCACAUGGAAGAAUCUCAAAAUAACUAUACUGAGCCAGACAAAAGGAGUGCCUACUAUAUGAUUCCAUUUAUAUACAACUCUAGAAAAGACAAACUCAUUUAUAGUGACGGAAAGCACUCAGUGGGGAGGACAGGAAGAAGGAAUCAUAAAGGGUCAUGAGAAAACUUUUGGGGGUGAUGAAUAUGUUCACUAUUUUGAUUAAGUUGAUGGUGUUUUCACAGGAUAUACAUAUGUCAAAACUUACCAAAUUAUAGACUUUCAAUAGUGUGGUUUAUUGUAUAACAAUUAUACUUCAAUAAAGCUGCUA